rnacentral:rRNA from 1 species
UGGGGAAUAUUGGACAAUGGGGGGAACCCUGAUCCAGCCAUGCCGCGUGUGUGAAGAAGGCCUUAUGGUUGUAAAGCACUUUAAGCGAGGAGGAGGCUACUCUAGUUAAUACCUAGGGAUAGUGGACGUUACUCGCAGAAUAAGCACCGGCUAACUCUGUGCCAGCAGCCGCGGUAAUACAGAGGGUGCGAGCGUUAAUCGGAUUUACUGGGCGUAAAGCGUGCGUAGGCGGCUUAUUAAGUCGGAUGUGAAAUCCCCGAGCUUAACUUGGGAAUUGCAUUCGAUACUGGUGAGCUAGAGUAUGGGAGAGGAUGGUAGAAUUCCAGGUGUAGCGGUGAAAUGCGUAGAGAUCUGGAGGAAUACCGAUGGCGAAGGCAGCCAUCUGGCCUAAUACUGACGCUGAGGUACGAAAGCAUGGGGAGCAAACAGGAUUAGAUACCCCCGUAGUC